GGAGGGAUAUUAUUCCAUAUCAUUUUUAGAGAAAGGACAAUUAUUUGUCGAAACACCGCGAUUUAUGAAGAUACGGUACAUCGCAAUGUUAUCGUUAUUCAAAUUGCAUUCAAUCUCUAUUCUCAUUAAUUAACUCUUCAUAUCUUGUAAAAUUCGUUUAAUAAUAAGCAAUAUUGUCAUUUAACGUAAAUUAGUGUAUAAGCCAGCAGUAUAAUAAUAUAUUGUAACAUAACAUACAAAUAAAGAACUCUAAUCUAAUCUAAUCUCAUCCAUGAUCCAUCAUUUCUACACUCUAUGCUCUCUCUCUUCUCUAUUCAACUGCAUAUGCUUUCUACUACUAUGUUAUAUUUUCCAGUACGGUAGGCUAUAUAGUUUGAGUCUCUCCACUUACUACCUGCUCCACAGUUUCGAAUAAUAGUCCCUUCUUUUGUAAUAGUGUAGGUCUGUCACCAUUGUCCACUGGUCUACCCUCUCUUUCUCAACUCACUCCUUCUCAGUCGGAGUAUUUCGCGCCCUUUUUGGUUGGGUUUGCCUUUUGGUUAGUUGUAGUGUUGUAGUCACUAAACUGUCACUAGUCAGUCGCAAGGGCCAGUUAGUUCAGUUCAUCAUGUAUUGAAUACAGAUUACAGUUCAUGUUUCCAGUGUUUUAUCCGGGAAUUUAUUUGUUUUGAAGUCACUUGAUCUUCUAUUAUCAAUGAGACGUAUGUCGCGUCAUGCGCCGAUACAGCUUUGGAGGGGCGCACAAUCACGAGUAUCAUGGGGAAGCUGGUGACCCUUCGUUGCCAUAUACUUUUCGUGGAAAAGAGUUCAACGCAAGGACGACCAUGAGAUAGAGAAAAAACCAUUCAAGGGCCUUCUCAUAACUAAAGUUAUGAUUGACAUGGAGAAAAGGAGAAGAAACAGUCGUCUGCUGAAGUCAAUGAAGUCGAGACACUUGAACAUUUUAAUUUGGAGCUCCAGCCAUAAAAUACAAUUCAUCGCAUUACUAUGUUAAUUAUGAAUGUUUAAGUAAAGGAUUUAUUCAUCAAUUUUGAAGUUAUGUAAUUUUUUCAAAUCCAGCUGAAUAUACUAUUUAUUCUAUAAAGGAGAUUAUAUGUCAAUGAUUUUGAAUCAUUCUGAAGAACUUAUUCAAUCAUUUCUAAAGUGAUUUAAAGUAGUUUAUUAAUCAUAAUUUUGCUCACUUAAAGCAUUGUAAAUCAUUGUAGAGUGAUUUGAGAGUAAUUUAAAAGUGU